GUUUCUUUGAGGGACAGUCCGCUCCCUGGGAUUCUGCCAAAAAGGACGAGAACCGCAUGAAGAACCGCUACGGAAACAUCAUCGCCUAUGAUCACUCCCGUGUGCGGCUGCAGCCUCAGGACGGAGAGAGUGGGUCCGACUACAUCAACGCUAACUAUGUGGACGGAUACCACAGACCCAAUAACUACGUCGCCACCCAGGGU